ACAGACUGGAUAUAGGGGGAUGACAGAUAGUGAGGAGUAAAGGAUGAUGCCUAGGUUGCAAGCCUGAGAGACUGGGAAGAUGGGAAGUCAGCAAGAGAGGUUUGGGCUAGACACACCGAUUUGAGAAGCAUCAGUAUAGAGAUGAUAACUGAAUUCAUGGGAGUUGAUAAGAUGACCAAAUGAAACAGUACAGAGGGAGAAGAUAAGAAGGCCCAGAACAGAGCCCUGUGGAACAUCCACGGAAAAUCACUGCUUCGCAGCUGUGUGGAGGAGAAAUUGGAGUGGAGAAAGAUAUCAAGCAAGGCAAUCUAUUGGGAGAUUGUUGCAAUAAUUUAAGAAUGACUGAACCUAAGUUGUUUGUAUGUGAGUAGAGAGGAGACAUCAGGUCCAAGAGAUGUUGUGAAGCAACUAGCACAGUGCUUUGCACAUGAGAGGCACACAGUAAAUAUCUGUUAAAUGAAAGAAUGACUUUCAAUAAAGUCCUGCUGCUACUCCUCAUUGUAGUGUGGCAUUGACCCUGGGACGGAGCCUACCAAGUUGGAAAUUCCACCAAACUGUCAAUUAGUAACCAAUCUAGAUAAAUUUAGAAAGAGCUUGUCCACUGGAUGAUGAAUUAUUUUUGGCCACAGAAACUCUGGAAACCACUUACUAAGAUACAAAAGGAGUUCAAAUAGCAACAAUAGAGGAAGAACCACACCAAUUCAAUCAUGGACCUUUCAGAAGAAAUGAAUGAAUGAUUCCUUGAUGUAUUUCUUUCAAACUUCAAGUUUUCCUCAGACACAAAUCGUUAAUAAUUACUUGAAAAACUACCCAAUCUCACUAAUAAAGAAUUACAACUAGAAUGUAGGGCUAGAAGUUACCACGUUAUAAUUAAAAGCAUCAAAAUUCAAUGCUGAUGAAUUGUAGGGAAACUGGUACACUUAUUCAUUAUUGGCAGAAUUGCAAACUCAUGGAAUUUUAUUUGCAGAGCAAUCUGGCACUAUGGAGUAGAAGUUAUAUAAACUGCCAGUUAAACUAAUAAUUUCAUUCUUGGAAGUAUAUACUCUGAAAGUAUUAACAAAAGACAAAAAAAAAGAGAUUUUCAGAGAGAGAGAUUUUCAUAAACUGAAAAAUGUCUGAUUCCUCAGUGUAGGAAUUCCCUCCAAUAAGCAAUCAUAACCCAUCCAUAAUUUAGUACAUAAUUCUUAUAUAAUCCCUGAAACUCAAGUAUAUAAAAUUACUUUCUUAUAUCAAUCAGCUAGUAUCUGUGGCAGAACUUGAACCCAGGUCUUCUUGACGCCAUGUAUAGUACUUUGUUAUCCUAUACUGCCUCUCAAAAUUGCCCUUUAUAACAGUAUUAUUCUAACUACAAAAAUAUACAACCCUAAGUAUCCAACAAUGGGGGAAUGUUAAAUAAAUUGUGGUACAUUCAUGUGACAGAGUAUGACAAUGUAAUUAAGACUAACAAACAUAAAGGAUGCAAAGCAGUCUGUGAAGAACCAGAAUGACGGCAUAUAUAAUAGGAAAAGUAAAUGAUGAAGAGACAAAGACUCUCCUAAGGAGGCUCCUAAUGGACACUUGGGAGUAGUGAAUGUAUGAAUUACAUAAUAUCUUAUGUCUUGAAGUUAAUUUAUACAUAAACAGUCACAAAGCAAGUUUAAUUGGUUGCAAAAAGUUAUUAAGGCUAAAAAGUAUGCUUUUAUAAAAAGAUUAUCCCUUUAAUUCUAGCAGUUUGAAACUUAGUGAACAAAUAAAUACACAUUCAUCUUCCUACCCUACAUGAUUUCUUAGAUUUAAAUUACAUCUCCCUCAACCUUCACCUUUCCUGAUGACAGUCCAAAUAUAUUUAGUUUGUUCUCAGAUAUUAGCCUCCUUAUUCUCUUGAUUAUUUUUGAUUGAUUGCCCUUCACUGAAUUGCCUCAUGCUCCAUUAUUAUUUUGACCUUUUUGAUUGUUCCCCUCUAAGCUGGAUUCAACACAGGGUUGGAAGGAAGACAGGAAGUUGGAACACAAAGCAUUCAUGUGUCUUAGACAAGGUUUAAAACAGAAUGCCCCUGUGUAUUACUGCUUGAAGCAAAGCAGCUGGGGACCAGAUGGCUCAUUUGGAUUGGGUGUCCAGUGUUGACAGAGAUGAGUCCAAGUCACAGGUUGCAGCAUGCUAAAUUAAAGCCUUUAAUUUAGCCUGUUCAAUUCCAUACCUAUUGGCAUAAAGGUUUGGGACUCUCACACUGAAUCAUACCAUUGCAGAGUCUUAAAAUUAGAACUGACCUCCUAGGUUAUCUAGUCCAAAUGAUACCUGAGCAGCAAUACCCUCUAGAAAAUAAUUACCUGUGUGACCCUGGGCAAGUCACUUAACCUCGAUUGUCUCACCAAAAAAAAAAAUCACCAAAUGGUCACAUAGCCUGUGCUUGAUGACUUCCAAUGCACUAUCAUCUCCCAAGGCAGUUGAUUCAAUUGUUGAACAAUUCUAAUUGUUAGAACUCUUUCUUUACUUCAGACCACAAUCUGCCUCUCUGAAAUUUCUAUCCAAUGACUCUAAUUUUGACCCUUGUGUUUGACCUUCAUGUGAUGCCAAAGACAGGGCAAAGACUAAGUGGCACUGACCCAUAUAGAAUUAUUUUAACUAAAUAUGAACAGGAUACAACAAAGCAAAAAGUCAAAGCUACAACUCCUACACGGUGAAGAAGCUUUGACACAGAACACAGACUGGGAGAAAUGGGCACACUUCCUCUCUAUGACCACCAUAUUUGCACCUUGCACUACAGUCUACAGAAGACAGUGUGACUGUACUUGGGGUACUAUGCUCAAGUUACUACAAUAUCACUGCAUCACAGUGGCACCACUUAGCUCUGCUUCUUUCCGCGAGGCAGUACCCGCUUGUUAUCUCUGACUAUAUGGAUCUAAGGAUUUUAUUCACUCAGAAAUCAGUUCUAAAGCUCUUACCUACUAGCAAUCCCUACCUCCUCCUUUUACUGUAUUUCCUGAGCCCUAGUAUAAUAACCUUGGCAUAAAGGAAUUGCCUCUCCACAAAUCAAACUUGCUUAAAUACUACAUGCAACAUAUACUCUUAGCAUAGGAAUAAUAAAAGCAAUAAAUGAUACCUAACAAAAGAUCUACCAUAGCCCCUACUAUGUUCUCAAAUGGUAUACAGGACCAUUUCAAACCACGGAGUGCUCAGAAAUGCACAGCUUGAGUUUGUUUAGUUACCCACAGCUUGUUUUCCCCAUGAAAAGCCAAAGGAGUGAAUAUAACACAAGCCAGUUCCUAUUCAAUGCUUGAUUCAUACUUUUGGUAGUUGAAGGUGCAGAAACUCUGGACAGGGGAUUUUGGCUGAGUUCAGGGCAUAGAACUUGGGAUCCAGUAUGAACUGGAGCUAAUGAAGAUUAAUGCUUUUCCUAACUGCAGCUGUGUUGUUGCUAGAAAGGAACCUGUGACCAGUUCUAGCCAUGCCUAAGUCCAUAAUCAGAUAAAUGAGCAUAAGACACAAGAGCCAGCCCCAGAAAAGAACAGCACCGUAAACCCAGCAUUCCUCUCUUAACUUUGAGUAUUAGCAGUCCUUUCUAUAAUCCUUGAAUCAUGCUACCUCCUAUGACAUGCUACCUCUCAUACCCCUAGCCCAAAGCU